rnacentral:rRNA from 1 species
UACGUCCCUGCCCUUUGUACACACCGCCCGUCGCUACUACCGAUUGAAUGGCUCAGUGAGGCCUUCGGACUGGCCCAGGGAGGUCGGCAACGACCACCCAGGGCCGGAAAGUUGGUCAAACUCGGUCAUUUAGAGGAAGUAAAAGUCGUAACAAGGUCUCCGUAGGUGAACCUGCGGAGGGAUCAUU